UGAAGACAGCUUGUCUGUCAAAAUGUUGGAUAUUAGGUUAUUCAAUUAUUGCAUCUGAGUUCCUAGAGUGUGCGGCUCUCCUUUUCUUUUUCAAGUGUUCUACGCCGCUAGCCAGCACCUCGCCUAAACAGGUGUGCGUUUCUUUCGCCUCCAGAUUUGAGUCAUAUAUACACAUAAGCAGCACUGCCCAUCCCCCAGAGAAAUGCUUGAACCUCAACAUGGCUACAAGUUGCUGUUCAGGGCAUGGACUUGUUUUGGUAGAAGACGCAUUUGAGCAAGCAAGGGAUGGCCUUAUUGCUUCUGGACAUUACUUUUUGACACUUUUGUAACCUCUCUGUCACUGCUCAUGACUCACCUGAUGAAUAAAUAAUGUGUGAAAAAGCAUUGCUCUCUGUUCCCCUCCUCCUAAAACACACACAUACACACACACACACACUCAAACACACUCGUGUGGGUAGGGGGAUGUGGGGGGUGUUUGAAGCCUAAACAUCAGUGACUAAUUGGAACAUAAAACGGUGGUGUGAGAAAGCGGAGGAGGGAGAGAAAGACGAGGCGGGCG
rnacentral:lncRNA from 1 species